GGGAGUAUAACUCAGUGAUAGAGUGUCUGACUGCAGAUCAACAGGUCCCCAGUUCGACUUUGGGUGCCCCCU
rnacentral:tRNA from 1 species